AGAGUUUGAUCAUGGCUCAGAUUGAACGCUGGCGGCAGGCCCAACACAUGCAAGUCGAGCGGUAACACAGGGAGCUUGCUCUCGGGUGACGAGCGGCGGACGGGUGAGUAAUGUCUGGGAAACUGCCUGAUGGAGGGGGAUAACUACUGGAAACGGUAGCUAAUACCGCAUAACGUCGCAAGACCAAAGAGGGGGACCUUCGGGCCUCUUGCCAUCAGAUGUGCCCAGAUGGGAUUAGCUAGUAGGUGGGGUAACGGCUCACCUAGGCGACGAUCCCUAGCUGGUCUGAGAGGAUGACCAGCCACACUGGAACUGAGACACGGUCCAGACUCCUACGGGAGGCAGCAGUGGGGAAUAUUGCACAAUGGGCGCAAGCCUGAUGCAGCCAUGCCGCGUGUAUGAAGAAGGCCUUCGGGUCGUAAAGUACUUUCAGCGGGGAGGAAGGUGUUGAGGUUAAUAACCUCAGCAAUUGACGUUACCCGCAGAAGAAGCACCGGCUAACUCCGUGCCAGCAGCCGCGGUAAUACGGAGGGUGCAAGCGUUAAUCGGAAUUACUGGGCGUAAAGCGCACGCAGGCGGUCUGUCAAGUCGGAUGUGAAAUCCCCGGGCUCAACCUGGGAACUGCAUUCGAAACUGGCAGGCUAGAGUCUUGUAGAGGGGGGUAGAAUUCAGGUGUAGCGGUGAAAUGCGUAGAGAUCUGGAGGAAUACCGGUGGCGAAGGCGGCCCCCUGGACAAAGACUGACGCUCAGGUGCGAAAGCGUGGGGAGCAAACAGGAUUAGAUACCCUGGUAGUCACGCCGUAAACGAUGUCGACUUGGAGGUUGUGCCCUUGAGGCGUGGCUUCCGGAGCUAACGCGUUAAGUCGACCGCCUGGGGAGUACGGCCGCAAGGUUAAAACUCAAAUGAAUUGACGGGGGCCCGCACAAGCGGUGGAGCAUGUGGUUUAAUUCGAUGCAACGCGAAGAACCUUACCUACUCUUGACAUCCAGAGAACUUAGCAGAGAUGCUUUGGUGCCUUCGGGAACUCUGAGACAGGUGCUGCAUGGCUGUCGUCAGCUCGUGUUGUGAAAUGUUGGGUUAAGUCCCGCAACGAGCGCAACCCUUAUCCUUUGUUGCCAGCGGUCCGGCCGGGAACUCAAAGGAGACUGCCAGUGAUAAACUGGAGGAAGGUGGGGAUGACGUCAAGUCAUCAUGGCCCUUACGAGUAGGGCUACACACGUGCUACAAUGGCGCAUACAAAGAGAAGCGACCUCGCGAGAGCAAGCGGACCUCAUAAAGUGCGUCGUAGUCCGGAUUGGAGUCUGCAACUCGACUCCAUGAAGUCGGAAUCGCUAGUAAUCGUAGAUCAGAAUGCUACGGUGAAUACGUUCCCGGGCCUUGUACACACCGCCCGUCACACCAUGGGAGUGGGUUGCAAAAGAAGUAGGUAGCUUAACCUUCGGGAGGGCGCUUACCACUUUGUGAUUCAUGACUGGGGUGAAGUCGUAACAAGGUAACCGUAGGGGAACCUGCGGUUGGAACACCUCCUUUCU
rnacentral:rRNA from 1 species